rnacentral:lncRNA from 1 species
GCUGCUGGAAUGUUGCUACUUAGAAAUGGAAAGUUCACAAUUGGAAAGCUGAAAUAAUCUCCUUUGUCGUAAAGUUUUGUUUUCAACCGACCCUCAUUGUCAAUUUCUAAAUAUAGGUCAAGAUAUGAGGCCGAAUUUACUGUAUCUGUAGUAUCCUUUAUCUAUAGUACGAUGGGAUAGAUGCGUUCCACAAAGUAACCAAAUUUUGAAUUAUUUAGUGAAAGAACAUCAUCUAUGUAGCAGAAAGUAGAGUAAAAGGAUAUUGCUAACUUUUUAUCUUUCUUCCUAAGAAGUUCCUACAUGAUCUCAGCCUCAUAAUAAUAAAGAAACAAGUCGGCAAGUAGAGGGGCACAAUUUGUUCCCAUUGGAAUGCCGACAGUCUAUUGAAAAACGCCUC